UCUAGCUUGCUAGAUGCUGACGAGUGGCGCACGGGUGCGUAACGCGUAUACAAUCUACCUUUAACUGAGGGAUAGCCCAGAGAAAUUUGGAUUAAUACCUCAUAGUAUUAUAAUUAGGCAUCUUUUUAUAAUUAAAACUUCGGUGGUUAAAGAUGAGUAUGCGUACUAUUAGCUAGUUGGUAAGGUAAAAGCUUACCAAGGCAACGAUAGUUAGGGGGCCUGAAAGGGUGAUCCCCCACACUGGUACUGAGACACGGACCAGACUCCUACGGGAGGCAGCAGUGAGGAAUAUUGCACAAUGGAGGAAACUCUGAUGCAGCCAUGCCGCGCGCAGGAAGAAUGCCCUAUGGGUUGUAAACUGCUUUUAUACAAGAAGAAACCUCGGUACGUGUACCGACUUGACGGUAUUGUAUGAAUAAGCACCGGCUAACUCCGUGCCAGCAGCCGCGGUAAUACGGAGGGUGCAAGCGUUAUCCGGAUUUAUUAGGUUUAAAGGGUCCGCAGGCGGAAUAUUAAGUCAGUGGUGAAAGCCUACAGCUCAACUGUA
rnacentral:rRNA from 1 species